CGUCUCGCUAAUACUUAGCUUUCCCCGGUCACGUCUGUUUCGUUUUUGUUUCAAAGAGAUGGCUUUGUUUUUGCCGGUGUGGGGCUCCACGAGGAGCUCCGCGCGUCCCGCCCCCUCGCCUCGGGCGUCACUGCCUCGCGGCGCCAGCUCGGUGGCCCCGGGGCCGCCAGAAGCCCCCGCCUUUGUCCGGCUGAUCGGCCGAGGUGUAAUCUGCGCGCGCACACGCACGCACGCACGCACGCAUGCACCCGCCCGCGCCCACCCGCGCAUGCGCGCUCUCGCAGCUCCGCCCGAAGCGCCGCCUCCAUGCCAGACCGUCUCACCCACCAGUGCUCAAGUGUUUCACCCACCAGUGCUCAAAUUCUUCCUGGGCCCUCCCUGACACAAGAGGUAUUACUUAAGAAGGAGACUCAUUUAAUGGAUAUUCAGUAAGUCCCAGUGCUCUCGAGUUACUAAUUUUUCCAUGAUUUCCUGAAAUUUCAAGUCUCU
rnacentral:lncRNA from 1 species